CGCGUAGGCGGCCAAUUAAGUCAAAUGUGAAAUCCCCGAGCUUAACUUGGGAAUUGCAUUCGAUACUGGUUGGCUAGAGUGUGGGAGAGGAUGGUAGAAUUCCAGGUGUAGCGGUGAAAUGCGUAGAGAUCUGGAGGAAUACCAGUGGCGAAGGCGACUUACUGGACAGAUACUGACGCUGAUGGACGAAAGCGUGGGGAGCAAACAGGAUUAGAUACCCCCGUA
rnacentral:rRNA from 1 species